AUUGCACAAGGAAUUAACCUUCCCCACUUAAGAUGUGAGAAGGUCCCAUGUGCUACUAAAGUGGUCACUCAUCCUAUCCUUUCUCUUCUUUUUCUCCCCCACUCUUCUUUUCUCCCUUCUUGGAACCCACAAAAGACAAUAUACCAAGAUAAGAAAGAGAGAGAGAGAGAGAGAGAGAGAGAGAGAGAGAGAGAGAAUGGAUCCACCCUCUUCCCAAGCAAUGUCAAGCUCAGAUGAUCUUCAAGAUAGAGCAAUCAAUGAAUGAUUUUUGCCAAAGCACUUCUGAUGCUGCUGUUCUCAUGAUCCAUCUCCUGAUCAUUGACAAUUAGUAGGACAAGUGUUUUGAUCAUGAGGAUCUGAAAAAGUGCAUGUCACAAGCUGUUCCAAAUUAACUGCUUAUUAAUGAUCCUGUGGAGUUAUGAUCAAUUGUAACCUCAAAAGUGUGAAAAGAUUACUUGGUUUCUUUCUUUCU